rnacentral:misc_RNA from 1 species
UCAAACUUGGUCAUUUAGAGGAAGUAAAAGUCGUAACAAGGUUUCCGUAGGUGAACCUGCGGAAGGAUCAUUACCGAGUACCGGAGCCUCCGGGUUCCUACUCCCACCCUAUGUUGACUUUAAACGUUGCUUUGGCAGACCGGUGAUUUCACCGCUGGCCCUAGUGGCUGGAGAGUUGUCUGCCGGAGGAAUUUUAAACUCUGGUAACUGUGAAUUCUGAGUCUUGAGAAAUUGAAUCAAAACUUUCAACAACGGAUCUCUUGGUUCUGGCAUCGAUGAAGAACGCAGC